rnacentral:rRNA from 1 species
AGUGAACGCUGGCGGUAGGCCUAACACAUGCAAGUCGAACGGCAGCACAGUAAGAGCUUGCUCUUACUGGUGGCGAGUGGCGGACGGGUGAGGCAUACAUCGGAAUCUACUUUUUCGUUGGGGAUAACGUAGGGAAACUUACGCUAAUACCGCAUACGACCUACGGGUGAAAGCAGGGGAUCUUCGGACCUUGCGCGUUUUAAUGAGCCGAUGUCGGAUUAGCUAGUUGGCGGGGUAAAGGCCCACCAAGGCGACGAUCCGUAGCUGGUCUGAGAGGAUGGUCUGCGACACUGGAACGGAGACACGGUCCAGAAUCAUACGGGAGGCAGCAGAGGGGAAAAUAAAAGAACGUGAGCAAGCCUGUGCAAGACGAACCACGUGAGUGAUGAAGGCAAUCAGGGUGUAAAGCCCUGUUGUGGGGAAAGAAAAGCAGUAGGUGAAACUAAAGCUGAGCUGAAGGUACCCAAAGAAUAAGAACCGGCUAACUAAGUA